AGGCACAAUGCAAUCUUCAGACCUACUUGAAUGAUUUGGUUUGCAGACUUUGAGUCUGCUCGCGCUUUCCCAGCUGUUGCUCCAUGUUCGUUGCAUGAUCCUCAGCUUCACAUGAGUAUUCAAACAACUGUAACUUCCUGCAGCCUCAAAAGCUUCUUUGUCAGAACAUUUCUGUCUUUUUUUCCAGUGGCUGUCCAGCUCUGACACAGCCGCUGAGCCUGACACACAUCGUUGUUGGCAGCAGUGCAAAUUAGUGCUCCAGCGACAGCCACCCUGUGGCAGAAAUGCCUUUGCAAGUUAGGAUGCUCAGAGAUCCGUAAGCCCGGGGAAAGCACAGCCUGGAGAGACAGAGCCGUGGCAAGCCGAGAGAGGCGAGGACAACUGGAAAACCUGACAAGAAACAUCAAAAGAGAAAUAUGAAGCUGAGAUUUGAAAAGUUAUUCUCCUACACAGGUUCAUUCAGGACCAUCAGGACCAGAACUUGGUGAAGUAAUGUACAACUGUAGAGUGGUGAAGAGCUGAAUCACUCGUAUACAGAUACUGUGGAGACUUUUAUAUGUAUUUUGUACAGAAAAAGGCCUUGCCUGCCCUUUCCAUUGCAGCAAAGUGGGACUUUGAUCAGACGUGCAAGAAAUAAAGGCUGAGAUGGGGGGAAUUUCAGAUGUCCUGUCAAUGAAGGGAGAAGCCUUUGGUCAUUUCCAGUGGUUCAUCCAACUUCUGUGGCUACCUUGAUAUGUUCUUACUAUUUUGCUGACGUCCAUUUCUUCUGUUGUAAGCAUCCUCCAAGGGUCAGGUUUGGUGACUACCAGACUACAAGGCCAUGGCUGGCUUGUAAAUUUGUCAUGAAGAAGAUGAGAAUAACGCCAGUUCAUCUGAUUGCCAUAUCUAUGAUCUGUAGAUCCUGGGGUAGUGUAUUCUAGUAUCUGGGCAUAUGCAGAUGGAUAUGACAGACAGACUCGUGAGACAGGGGAGGACUGGCUUAAAAAACAGAUAAAACAUUUGUGGUUACUAUGGAAACACAUCUCUCUCUUGGGCCUUCUGCAUACCAGCACAAAGUUUCUUUCUAAGGCCUUCUAUAGAUCUAAUCUCCUUUUCCUACUAGCGUAAACCACAAUGAUUUCAUUCACAGAAUGUAACUUUGCUGACACCAAUAGGUGUUUUCUACAGUCUAUCUCCUAUAGGUAUUGUUAAUCCAUGCUACUUGCAACCUGAAUGAUGUUGAUUUUAAGGAAGUGUAGGUGCGUUUCAGGAAAUGUAACAAACCACACAAAAAACAUAUGAGGCAAGUGUAUGUUAAGUGUGUGAAAUGGGCUGUUUCUGGUAGUCUGUGGAUUAUUCUUCUGUUUUCUUUACAAAACAUCUGUAGUUUUACGGGUUAAAUAUGCCAGAAAUUAAAAAUAUGUAUAUAUAAAUAAACCAACCAUUGUUUUGCUACUUUAUUCAUUACCAAAGAAACUGGAACCAGCACUUUGCUAUGAGAUUUCUCUUAUACGCACUUAGCUAUUCUCUGUCAUCUUUUCUACUUUUGAUGUUAAUCACAAGCAGCCAGAACCAGAAGAUAAUGAAGAAUUAAAAGAUUAGAGAUAUGGAAAGUUUGCAUGUUAAAAGCAAAGUCAAAGAGCAAAGAAACCACAAUGACUGAGAUAAUGAGAGUGAGGCAUAUAAUUUCUCUUCAAGUAGUGAGAUAGAAAAAUAUCCUCAUGGCACUUCCACAUGGGAGAAGAUAGUGCUGCUUACCUCUGGAGGGGCAAAAACAACAGCU